rnacentral:rRNA from 1 species
CCUACGGGUGGCAGCAGUCGAGAAUCAUUCACAAUGGGGGAAACCCUGAUGGUGCGACGCCGCGUGGGGGAAUGAAGGUCUUCGGAUUGUAAACCCCUGUCAUGUGGGAGCAAAUUAAAAAGAUAGUACCACAAGAGGAAGAGACGGCUAACUCUGUGCCAGCAGUCGCGGUAAUACAGAGGUCUCAAGCGUUGUUCGGAAUCACUGGGCGUAAGGCGUGCGUAGGCUGUUUCGUAAGUCGUGUGUGAAAGGCGCGGGCUCAACCCGCGGACGGCACAUGAUACUGCGAGACUAGAGUAAUGGAGGGGGAACCGGAAUUCUCGGUGUAGCAGUGAAAUGCGUAGAUAUCGAGAGGAACACUCGUGGCGAAGGCGGGUUCCUGGACAUUAACUGACGCUGAGGCACGAAGGCCAGGGGAGCGAAAGGGAUUAGAUACCCCAGUAGUC